UACGUAGGGUGCAAGCGUUGUCCGGAAUUAUUGGGCGUAAAGAGCUCGUAGGCGGUCUGUCGCGUCGGAUGUGAAAAUCCAGGGCUCAACCCUGGACCUGCAUUCGAUACGGGCAGGCUAGAGUUCGGUAGGGGAGACUGGAAUUCCUGGUGUAGCGGUGAAAUGCGCAGAUAUCAGGAGGAACACCGGUGGCGAAGGCGGGUCUCUGGGCCGAUACUGACGCUGAGGAGCGAAAGCGUGGGGAGCGAACAGG
rnacentral:rRNA from 1 species